rnacentral:lncRNA from 1 species
UUAAAGUAUCUUGCCAAGAUCUUCAGGUUGGAACUGAAACAGAGUUUUCUCUUAGCUCCUCUGAGCCAAUUUCUAGCAUCCUAUCAGAGAAAAACAACAGCAUCACAUGUGGGGUCAGGAAGAAGUUGCUAGCACUGAAAAGGAGUGCAGACCUUCACUGGACCCCCAGAAGCUGGACUAGGAUUUGGCUUGAGCCAGGACCAGUUACAGGUUUCACUUCUCCACAGUCCUUCAGAGCAGAGAACAUCAAGGAUGUAAUGUUUCAAGGUUAGUCCUCUGAGACACUUUAUUAACUAUCUGAAGAGCUACAGAUCUCAGAUUUCUGAUAGGAAAAGUAGCAAGGAAAUGACCUGCAGAAACUGUAAAAAUGUUUGGUGGCAUGCUAGGC